GUUUCUCAAGUAUAUUAGUUUCCUAGGACUGUCUAACAAAUAACCACAAACUUGGUGGCUUAACUCGGAGAAAUUCAUUUUGUCAUAGUUCUGGAGGCCAGAAUUCUGAAACCAAGGUGUUGGCAGAACCAUGUGCCCUCCAAAGGCUCUAGGUGGAAUUCAUGCCUUCUAUUCCAGCUUCUAGUGACUCCAGGUGUUCCCUGCCUUGUGGCAAUAUAACUCCAGUGUCUGCUCCAUCUCCACAUGGCCUUCUCCUCCCUGUGCCUCCUCUCUGUAUAUCUCUUACAAGGACUCUUACCACUGAAUUUAGGGGCCACCUGAGUAAUCCAGGAUGACCUCAUCUCAAUUUUAUUUAUUUAUUUAUUUUUGAGGGGGAGUGUGCAAUGGUGCCAUCUUGGCUCACUACAACCUCCACCUCCUGGAUUCAAGUAGCCUCCCGAGUAGCUGGGAUUACAGGCAUGCACCACCACACCUGGCUACACACCUGGCUAAUUUUGUAUUUUUAAUAGGGACGGGGUUUCACCAUGUUGGUCAGGCUGGUCUCGAACUCCUGGCCUCAGAUUAUCCGCCCACUUUGGCCUCCCAAAG
rnacentral:lncRNA from 10 species